rnacentral:rRNA from 1 species
UACAGAGGGGGCCAGCGUUAUUCGGCAUUAUUGGGCGUAAAGGGCGCGUAGGCGGCCAUGCGUGUCUUCCGUGAAAUCCCUCGGCUUAACUGAGGACGUGCGGAAGAAACUGCAAGGCUUGAGUCCGGGAGAGGGGGGUGGAAUUCCCAGUGUAGCGGUGAAAUGCGUAGAUAUUGGGAGGAACACCGGUGGCGAAGGCGGCCCCCUGGACCGGUACUGACGCUGAGGCGCGAAAGCGUGGGUAGCAAACGGG